UUUCCGGUUGAUCCUGCCGGAGGUUACUGCUAUCGAGGUUCGACUAAGCCAUGCGAGUCGAAUGUAGCAAUACAUGGCGAACUGCUCAGUAACACGUGGACAACCUGCCCUUAGGUUGGGUAUAAACCCGGGAAACUGGGUAUAAUACCCGAUAGGUCUCGAUUGCUGGAAUGCAUCGAGAUUUAAAGCUCCGGCGCCUAAGGAUGGGUCUGCGGCCUAUCAGGUAGUAGUGGGUGUAGCGUACCUACUAGCCUACGACGGGUACGGGUUGUGAGAGCAAGAGCCCGGAGAUGGAUUCUGAGACACGAAUCCAGGCCCUACGGGGUGCAGCAGGCGCGAAAACUUUACAAUGCUGGCAACAGCGAUAAGGGAACCUCGAGUGCCAGGUUACAAAUCUGGCUGUCGAGAUGCCUAAAAAGCAUUUCAUAGCAAGGGCCGGGCAAGACCGGUGCCAGCCGCCGCGGUAACACCGGCGGCUCGAGUGGUAACCGUUAUUAUUGGGUCUAAAGGGUCUGUAGCCGGCCGGAUAAGUCUCUUGAGAAAUCUGGCAGCUUAACUGUCUGGCUUUCAGGAGAUACUGUCUGGCUCGAGGCCGGGAGAGGUGAGAGGUACUUCAGGGGUAGGGGUGAAAUCUUGUAAUCCUUGAAGGACCACCAGUGGCGAAGGCGUCUCACCAGAACGGACCUGACGGCAAGGGACGAAAGCUAGGGGCACGAACCGGAUUAGAUACCCGGGUAGUCCUAGCCGUAAACGAUACUCGCUAGGUGUCGGCCACGGUGCGACCGUUGUCGGUGCCGUAGGGAAGCCGUGAAGCGAGCCACCUGGGAAGUACGGCCGCAAGGCUGAAACUUAAAGGAAUUGGCGGGGGAGCACCACAACGGGUGGAGCUUGCGGUUUAAUUGGAUUCAACGCCGGA
rnacentral:rRNA from 1 species